rnacentral:rRNA from 1 species
AUUGAACGCUGGCGGCAGGCCUAACACAUGCAAGUCGAGCGGAUGAAGGGAGCUUGCUCCUGGAUUCAGCGGCGGACGGGUGAGUAAUGCCUAGGAAUCUGCCUGGUAGGGGGGUAUAACGUCCGGAAACGGGCGCUAAUACCGCAUACGUCCUGAGGGAGAAAGUGGGGGGUCUUCGGACCUCACGCUAUCAGAUGAGCCUAGGUCGGAUUAGCUAGUUGGUUGGGUAAGGGCCUACCAAGGCGACGAUCCGUAACUGGUCUGAGAGGAUGAUCAGUCACACUGGAACUGAGACACGGUCCAGACUCCUACGGGAGGCAGCAGUGGGGAAUAUUGGACAAUGGGCGAAAGCCUGAUCCAGCCAUGGCGCGUGUGUGAAGAAGGUCUUCGGAUUGUAAAGCACUUUAAGUUGGGAGGAAGGGCAGUAAGUUAAUACCUUGCUGUUUUGACGUUACCAACAGAAUAAGCACCGGCUAACUUCGUG